UACGAAGGGGGCUAGCGUUGUUCGGAAUCACUGGGCGUAAAGCGCAUGCAGGCGGAUCGUUCAGUCGGGGGUGAAAGCCCGAGGCUCAACCUCGGAACUGCCUUCGAUACUGGCGAUCUUGAGUCCGGGAGAGGUGAGUGGAACUCCGAGUGUAGAGGUGAAAUUCGUAGAUAUUCGCAAGAACACCAGUGGCGAAGGCGGCUCACUGGCCCGGUACUGACGCUGAGGUGCGAAAGCGUGGGGAGCAAACAGG
rnacentral:rRNA from 1 species